AUGGACGACAUGGCGGCGAUAGUGAGACCUAAGUCAACUAGCCAUUCAUGUUCCACUCUAUUCCUAGGGUUCCUAUGGUAUACAACUCUGGCCUGGCAAGAUCAAUGGAGAAAACAUCGAAAACAGAGGAAGAGUGAUUUACCUGUCAGAGACGCUCGGACGACGACUCUAAUGGAAGAAUCGGAAACAACUCAGGUACGAUUAUGCUCUUCUUCUUCGCUGAUUUCUUUUUCUUAG